rnacentral:rRNA from 1 species
UACGGAGGGGGCUAGCGUUGUUCGGAAUUACUGGGCGUAAAGCGCACGUAGGCGGACUGGAAAGUUGGGGGUGAAAUCCCGAGGCUCAACCUCGGAACUGCCUUCAAAACUCCCAGUCUUGAGGUCGAGAGAGGUGAGUGGAAUUCCGAGUGUAGAGGUGAAAUUCGUAGAUAUUCGGAGGAACACCAGUGGCGAAGGCGGCUCACUGGCUCGAUACUGACGCUGAGGUGCGAAAGCGUGGGGAGCAAACAGG